rnacentral:tRNA from 1 species
GCGGGAGUAGCUCAGUUGGUAGAGCGUUAGCCUUCCAAGCUGAAUGUCGCCGGUUCGAGCCCGGUCUCCCGCU